ACACAUCCUCCCAACAGCUAGCCCGCCCUCCCAAACUCAACAAACAACAUUAAUAACCCCACAGCCAAAUACACUACAAAACAAAUCAUUUUUCCCCCUUAGUAUGGGUGACAGAAAAG
rnacentral:rRNA from 1 species